rnacentral:ncRNA from 1 species
AAUUUUUUAUGUUUUAGAAAUUUUAUUAUAAAUUUAUUUUACAUAUAAAUUUUAGUAUGAAAUUUUAAUUAUUUAAAUAAUAAUUAAUUAAUUAAGGUAGUAAUUAGUAUUAAAAAUUUAAGAAAUUAAGAUUUAGUAAUAUGAAAAUUAAUAACUAAUUUUGUGCCAGCAGUUGCGGUUAUACAAAGAUUAAAUUAAAUUAUUUCAGUUUAUAAUAAAUAAUUUUAAAUUAAAGUAAAUAUUAAAUUAUUAAGUGAAAUUUUAAUUUAAUUAAAUUUUAUAUUUAAAUUAUGAUUUAAUAAAUUUUAAUAUAAACUAGGAUUAGAUACCCUAUUAUUAAAAAAAUUAAAUUAUAAUACUAAAAUAGUAAAUAAUUAUUUAUUGAAACUUGAAUAAUAUGGCGGUAUUUUAGUUCAUUUAGAGGAAUCUGUUAAGUAAUUGAUAAUCCACGAAUAAAUUUACUUAAUUUUAAAUUUUGUAUAUCAUUGUUAAAAAAAUAUUUUUAAAUAAAAAUAAUAUUUAAAAUUUUAAAAAUAAAAUUAGUUCAGAUCAAGAUGCAGAUUAUAAUUAAGAUUAUAAUGGAUUACAAUAAAAUUAUUUAAAUGAAUAAUAGUAUUGAAAUUUAUAUUUGAAAGUGGAUUUAAAUGUAAUUUUAAUUAGUUUAUUAAAAUGAUUAAAAAUUAGAAUAUGUACAUAUUGCCCGUCACUUUCAUUUUAAAAUUGAAAUAAGUCGUAACAAAGUAGAUGUACUGGAAAGUGUAUCUAGAAAGAA